rnacentral:rRNA from 1 species
AACGAACGCUGGCGGCAUGCCUAAUACAUGCAAGUCGAACGAGAUCUUCGGAUCUAGUGGCGCACGGGUGCGUAACGCGUGGGAAUCUGCCCUUGGGUUCGGAAUAACUUCUGGAAACGGAAGCUAAUACCGGAUGAUGACGUAAGUCCAAAGAUUUAUCGCCCAAGGAUGAGCCCGCGUAGGAUUAGGUAGUUGGUGAGGUAAAGGCUCACCAAGCCGACGAUCCUUAGCUGGUCUGAGAGGAUGAUCAGCCACACUGGGACUGAGACACGGCCCAGACUCCUACGGGAGGCAGCAGUAGGGAAUAUUGGACAAUGGGCGAAAGCCUGAUCCAGCAAUGCCGCGUGAGUGAUGGAGGCCUUAGGGUUGUAAAGCUCUUUUACCCGGGAUGAUAAUGACAGUACCGGGAGAAUAAGCUCCGGCUAACUCCGUG